rnacentral:rRNA from 1 species
AUGCCAGAUCUGAGCACCGUCUGCCCCGAACUGUCUGCCGACGCCGCCGUGGACCUAGUGGGCGGGGAUGCGGCCGCUGACCCCGCGACGGCAGCGGCGGCGGCGGCGACGGAAUCCUCCUCCGGCGGCGAUGGCGCUCCCAUUAUCCCUGUGGAGUGCCGUUGGAGCGGCCGCGUGCGCGCCUUUGACGUCCAGGGCGCGGUCCCCGUGACCGCCUGCCCCGAGGCGCGCCGCGGCGGCGAGAGGAAGUCGUCCUCUGUUCCGCCCCCUUCGUCCGCGGCGGCCUCACUUGCCCCGGUAUCGGGUCGGGUGCUCGAGGACUAUGUGAACGAGGGCGUGAUCGCUGUCACUGCCGGCGCAGAGGCGCGCAGAGGAGGCGGCCGGAAGAACUCGUCCUCUGCCCCGCUGCCUCCGUCCGCAGCGGCACCAGCGCCGGCAUCUGGUCGGGCGCUCGAGGAGUAUGUGAACGUGGCCUCUCUCGCCGCCUCUCCUGAAGUGCACCACGGCGGCGGUAAGGACUCCUCUGCCCCGUUGCAUUCUGCCGCCACGGCCGUACAUGCGCCGGCACCGGGUGUGAAGCUCGAAGAUUAUGUGAACGUGUGUGCGGUCUCUGCCACUGCAUAUCCUGAGGCGCGCCGCAGUGGCGGAAAGAAGCCGUCCUCUGCCCAGCUACCUUCGGCCGUGGCGCUGCUGCCAGCAGCAGCGCCGGCACCGGAUCUGAUGCUAGAGGACUAUGUGAACAAGGGUGUGGUUUCUAUCACAGCCCACCCUGAGGUGCGCCGCGGCAGCGGGAAGAGGUCGUCUUCGGCUCGUUCGCCUUUAUCUCCGGCAGCAACGGUGCUGGCGCUGGCAUCGGGUCGGUCACUCAAGGACUAUGUGAAGGAGUGGGAGGCGAGGAAGGUGGCGUCAGGUGCCUCCCUGCAGCAUUGUGUGCUGCCAUUCCUCACUGGUGCGCCCAAGGCGGUUGAAUGUCGUGUGUGCUAUAAGAUUAUCCAUCCCUUGGAAGAAAUAAAAUGUUCAGUUAGCCGUUGUGAACAAAUGUUCCAUCUGACCUGUGUGGUGGAAUAUACUGCAAAUUUCACUGCCGAAAGCUUCAGGUGCCCUCAGCAUGGUUGCAUGGUUUGUAAGCAAAAAAUGUUUUUUUGGCGCUGUGGACGUUGUACAGUUGCAGCACAUACAAAAUGUGCACCAUGGCCUCUAAUUCAUCUAAAAGAUGACCAAGGAAGUGCAAUUUGCUGGAGGCACCCUUCCAAUUGGCUCCUUCAAAAUGAGAAUGCUGACCUGACAAACAACAUAGAGGAAGUCUUCUGCCGACUACCUCUUCCAUAUGUUAAUGAAGAAUUCAAUAUUGAUUCAACCAUUAGGAAUUUCACGGCGAUUGUUUGUAAACCGCCCUCGUACACACAUAUCAGGCGCAAUGUAUAUUUAGUCAAGAAGAAACGCGCCGAUUCGAGUGCCGAGACUGGGUGCACAAAUUGCAAAUCGGAUUCUGUUUGCAAAGAUGAUUGCGAAUGCAGGGGUCUUUCUAUGAGUUGUUCCAAGAGUUGCCACUGCUCAGACCUGUGUAGCAACAAGCCAUUCCGCAAGGAUAAGAAAAUUAAAAUUGUCAAGUCAGAAGGUUGUGGAUGGGGUGCUGUUGCAUUGGAGCCAUUGGAGAAAGGUGAUUUCAUAAUUGAGUAUGUGGGUGAAGUCAUCAAUGACGCAACAUGUGAACAACGGCUUUGGGACAUGAAGCGGCGCGGGGACAAAAAUUUCUACAUGUGUGAAAUCAGCAAAGAUUUUACAAUAGAUGCAACUUUUAAAGGAAACACUUCACGUUUUCUAAACCAUAGUUGUGAUCCCAACUGUAAACUAGAAAAGUGGCAAGUUGAGGGUGAGACAAGAGUUGGUGUUUUUGCCUCUCGUUUCAUUGAAGUUGGAGAGCCCUUAACUUAUGACUACAGGUUUGUGCAUUUUGGAGAGAAGGUUAAGUGCCAUUGCGGAGCAAAGAGUUGCCAAGGAUACUUGGGCAGCCAACUAAAGAAUCCAACACAGAACGCUCUUGCGGCUGCGGCGCUUGAGAAUAAGUUGCUCGUGCAACAGGGCGGCUGCUCUCCUUCAAGGGUCAAAACAGAGACUCGCCUGUUACCCUGGACCAACUGUAUAGAGGUUCCCUUUAACUUGAGAAGCAAAACGAAGAUAGACCGGAUAUGUUGGGGACACAAACGGCAGCGGACGUCCCUUUUAGAUCCAUCGUCAUCUUCAGCUAGCGUGCAGCCAUCAGAUAUUGAAGCUGGUGCAUUCAUUCUAUAG